GCUGAGUUUAAGACUGGUCAAGAGAGGAAAGAUGCUGCUGAACAUACUCUCACCGCUUACAAAGCUGCUCAG
rnacentral:sRNA from 1 species